rnacentral:lncRNA from 1 species
AUUUUUCAAUUAAAAUGAAGAACUGUUUUUGUGUGUUGCAGGUACAUUUCACGCAGUUGCCUUGUGGGACUUUGAGAGAUGCUGCAGCCCGUGACAUGUGGGAAUUAUCAUGAUCAACUACUCAGUUUGGAUUUCACCCAGUGGCCAAGAGCCUUGCAUACUAAAUAGCAAGGGUUGGAUUUUUAAAAAGAGUGAACCAGAAGCCAAUCAAGAGCACUUCUGAGGAAAUCGACAAAGCAGCAACAGAUGGGAUAUUUAAGGUACAUUUGAUUAUGAGAUUUUCCCCCCACAGCUGUGUGUGGACAUACUAGAAAACUUGUCUCAAACUUUACUACGCUGGAUAUUGGAAAUACG